rnacentral:rRNA from 1 species
GUGCCAGCAGCCGCGGUAAUACAGAGGGGGCGAGCGUUGUUCGGAAUUACUGGGCGUAAAGGGCGCGUAGGCGGCCAACUAAGUCAGACGUGAAAUCCCUCGGCUCAACCGGGGAACUGCGUCUGAUACUGGAUGGCUUGAAUUCGGGAGAGGGAUGCGGAAUUCCAGGUGUAGCGGUGAAAUGCGUAGAUAUCUGGAGGAACACCGGUGGCGAAGGCGGCAUCCUGGACCGAGAUUGACGCUGAUGCGCGAAAGCCAGGGGAGCAAACGGGAUUAGAAACCCUGGUAGUCC